rnacentral:rRNA from 1 species
UUCGUAGGUAGCAUGUUUGCCUGCGAAACCACGACUAUAAACACUUGAAGUUGACAAUACGUGACAAAACGUGUCAGCAACGAUGCUAUCCUGGCUGGAAGUGUCACACCAGUAGCUCUCUCGAGCCCACAAGUGUCACACAACCAGCAGCUCCCACGAGUUCACAGACCAAAUUGCGUCGGCCACUCUGUGGUUAAGAUAUGUUCGGCCCUUGUUUAGACACAAAUGAGGACACGUGGAACCUGCGGAAGGAUCAUUAAAGAGAAGGGAGUUCGCUCCCGGGGUCUCGGCCCUACUCUUCACCCUUUGUUUACUAUCUCUGUUGCUUUGGCGGGCCAUGGCUCUGCCAUGUCGAUUCAUCGGCAAGUGCUCGCCAAAGGAUUGUAAAUUCUUAUAUUAUCGCUGUCUGAAAACAAACAAAUAAUUAAAACUUUCAACAACGGAUCUCUUGGUUCUGGCAUCGAUGAAGAACGCAGCGAAAUGCGAUAAGUAAUGUGAAUUGCAGAAUUCAGUGAAUCAUCGAAUCUUUGAACGCACAUUGCACUCCUCGGUAUUCCGGGGAGUAUGCCUGUUCGAGCGUCAUUUCACCUCUCAAGCAUUAGCUUGGUAUUGGAUCUCAUCCGAGAGGAUGUAUCCGAAAGAAAGUGGCAGUUUGGGAAACAUUCAAGCGCAGUGAAAAUUUUCGCUAUGAACUUUCUCAGGCUCGCCAAAAACCAUAUUCAAAUCUUGACCUCGGAUCAGGUAGGGAUACCCGCUGAACUUAAGCAUAUCAAUAGGCGGAGGAAA